AAUGGAAUAGGACCCUGUCCUCCUAUUUUCAGUUGGUUUGCCGCGAGGACCAGGGUAAUGAUUAAUAGGGAUAGUUGGGGGCAUUAAUAUUUAAUUGUCAGAGGUGAAAUUCUUGGAUUUAUGAAAGAUUAACUUCUGCGAAAGCAUCUGCCAAGGAUGUUUUCAUUAAUCAAGAACGAAAGUUAGGGGAUCGAAGACGAUCAGAUACCGUCGUAGUCUUAACCAUAAACGAUGCCGACCAGCGAUUAGGAGACGUUGAAUACAAAACACCACCAUGCGCAUUGCGGUCGUCUUUGGUGUCGCUCACAAGGCGGCACCGGGGCGGCUUAGCUCGCAUGGCACCGGUGAAUGAC
rnacentral:rRNA from 1 species